UGUUCAAGAGCCAACCGUAUAGUUAUCCCUGCUCUCUCUUGAUUUCCAGAUACAUGGAAUAUCUUCUCCAUCCCUUCACUUUGAGCCUGUGAGUGUCUUUAAAGCUGAAGUGAGUCUCUUGGCAGCAUGUGGUUGGGUCUUGUUUUUUAAUUCAUCUAGGCAUUGGGUACCUUUGGAUUGAUGAACUCAUUUACCUUUAGAGUUAUCAUCGAUAUCUAAGAACUUAUUGAUGCUUAUUGUUUGCUGGGUAUUUCCAUGGUUUCUUUUUCCCUCUAUUUCUACCUACUAUUAUAAAUUUGUCAUUUUCCAUGGUGGUAUUCUCAGUUGGCUUUAUCUUUGUGCAUCUACUCUUGGUGUUUGUUUUGUGGUUACCAUGAGGCUUGCAUAUGACACCUCAUAGAUAAAAGUUCCCUUACAGCUGUUAGCAACUUAACUUUGAUCAUCUAUAAAAGCUUCACUUUUUUUACCCCCCCUUUUAAAUUUUUUGUCAUUAUUUACCUCUUUUAUAUAGUGUAUUCAGUAACAGUUUAUAGUACCUAUUAUUUUUGAUACUCUUUUCCUUGAUCUUUAUAAUAUAGUUAAGAGGCUAAUACACCAUUCUAUUACAGAAUUAGUUUUCUAAGUCUGACUGUAUAUUUGCCUUUAUUAGUGUGAUGUGUAUUUUCAUAUGUCUUCAUGUCACUGAUUGUCAUCUUUUCAUUUCAGCUUGAAGAAUUACUUUCAGCCUUUUGGAUAGAUGAUCAGCCCCCUGUACUCUUUCCUUGGGGGAAGGGGGACUCAGAAAGUUCUUCUUACAAUGUCUGCUACAUCCAUCUCUUUCCCCCCAGUGGCACGCCGGAAUCUCCACCAGGGAAGGCUGGGUUUCUGCACCUUCUCUGUCUUCUGUGGGUAUCCACCCGGGACAACUCUCUCCAGGUUUUUCCUGACUGGCGAGAGGGGUUGAGGCAGGCUCACUGCUCCACUGGUUCCACAGCCCAUAUCGAGGUGUCUGCCUAUUGCCAAGUGCACAGCUCCCAGGUAUCAAGCAGGCCCUCUAAUGCACAUUUGCUGAUUGAGUAUUGACUACAAAGAAGGUGCUGAUGAGGGCAGACACUCGUUUUCACGCUGUAGUAACUUGGAAAUGUGCAACCGUGUCAACGGAGACAAAAAAGCCAAAGUAACACGAAUCUUACGUUC